rnacentral:rRNA from 1 species
CCUACGGGAGGCAGCAGUGAGGAAUAUUGGUCAAUGGCCGGAAGGCUGAACCAGCCAUGCCGCGUGAAGGUCAGUGCCCUAUGGGCGUUAAACUUCUUUUGUGCGGGAGCAAUAAUGGUCACGUGUGGCCAGACGAGAGUACCGUACGAAUAAGCAUCGGCUAACUCCGUGCCAGCAGCCCCGGUAAUACGGGGGAUGCAAGCGUUAUCCGGAUUUAUUGGGUUUAAAGGGUGCGUAGGCUGUGAGGUAAGUCAGCGGUGAAAUGCCCCCGCGCAACGGGGUGAAGUGCCAUUGAUACUGGCGUGCUGGAGUGCGGGUGCCGUGGGAGGAAUGUGUGGUGUAGCGGUGAAAUGCAUAGAUAUCACACAGAACACCGAUUGCGAAGGCAUCUCACGGAUCCGCGAUUGACGCUGAUGCACGAAAGCGUGGGUAUCAAACAGGAUUAGAUACCCGUGUAGUC